GGGCAUACCCGUAGACCUUGUCUGACUGUGCUUGUGUCCAGGCAAGGGGGACAGUGUAUGCGAGAGCAACUUGGAGUUCGUGCCAGCCCCAGCCGGCUGAAUCAGUGGCUGGAUAAAUCGCAGCACUCCCAACAUUG
rnacentral:snoRNA from 1 species